UUUCCACUCAACCAUUAUUACCUAUGUUUUAUUUUCCCAUAAAACAUCUUCCCCUUAAAAUUCAAAGUUGUUCAUUCACUCCAUCCUUCAAACCCUAAAUCUCUUCCAAGCUUCAAGUCUCCAUUUUCGCAGGAAAAUUAACUUAUCAGCUUUACAAGAAAAUUUUUUCGGGUCCAAGAUGGGAGCUCUUGGAGAAGAGAGGAGCCAAGAAGCAAAUAUUGAUAUGGGCAUCAACUAAUGAAUUAAUUGGAUGCGGCUCAACUGUAGUAGCGAUCAAAGAGUUGAAUGUCUCGAUUGAAAGCUCAAGCUCUACAGAAAACUGGAAGCGAAUGUAACAGCAAGAAAAAUACAACUUCAUAAUGGACAAUGUUUGACAUACUGGUGCCACGGUGGCAGUGACAUUGGUUUUGUUUUGGUUUAUAAUUUAGAGAGGGAAAAGAAAAGCGGUGUGAUGCUAUCUCUAUUCAGUAGGAUAUAAUCAUUUUUAUUAAGGUUGUGUUUGAAUAAGCAACUUAUAUAUAAGCGCUUAUAGAUAAGUAGAUUUAAUAAAUUAUCUUGGCGAGCUUAUGAAAAAAGCUGAGAAAUGAAUACAGUUUAUAAACAUGUCACGGGUUCCUUUCCAUUGGCGUGUAUAUGUUUUCAUUAAUAUGGAUAAAUUUUGUAAGGUUGGAAUUUAAAUAUUUAUUUGUGAUAACCAGUGUAAUGUUUUUCUACUUAAUUGCUUCUACCAUUGUAAUAUUGAUCUGUGAUUAACAGUGUAAUGUAGAAGUUAUGCAUUAUAUUCCCUCAGAAUUCUUCCACUGUGUUGAUCUAAAGUUCAAUAUCCCAAUAAUUUACUAUCUUGAAUUGACAUUAACAGAAGCUUAGACUUGAAAUAAACAGGAACAUCAAAACUUCUCCUCUAGACUAUCUCUGCAGGACUAUUGUUUUUUAUGUGCCAGGAUCUUCUCAUGUCUUCUCAUUGCCAAAAGAAUGUACAAGGCAGUUCCAAUCGGCAGCAAAUUUUAGAUGAUGAGCAGGAGACGGCAAAACAGAAGGACAUGGAUGGCACUGAGAAUGGUCCUGGAAUAAAAUGUGCUUCCAAUGAAUAAGAAGAGUACAAUGUAUUGAAACAGAAGACACUUGAGAUAUGGUCUUUUGAGAAAAACACAAAGCUAAUUACUAGCUUCACCAUCUAAGUCAAUUGGGAAUUUUAAUCUGUUUAUAUCUUGAAAGAAAAUCCCAAUUGGAUGAUUUUUGAAGAUUCAGCUUGGAAUAUUAUGGA